rnacentral:rRNA from 1 species
UGGGGAAUAUUGGACAAUGGGCGCAAGCCUGAUCCAGCCAUGCCGCGUGAGUGAUGAAGGCCUUAGGGUUGUAAAGCUCUUUCGCCGGUGAAGAUAAUGACGGUAACCGGAGAAGAAGCCCCGGCUAACUUCGUGCCAGCAGCCGCGGUAAUACGAAGGGGGCUAGCGUUGCUCGGAAUCACUGGGCGUAAAGCGCACGUAGGCGGAUCGUUAAGUCAGGGGUGAAAUCCUGGAGCUCAACUCCAGAACUGCCCUUGAUACUGGCGAUCUCGAGUUCGAGAGAGGUUGGUGGAACUCCGAGUGUAGAGGUGAAAUUCGUAGAUAUUCGGAAGAACACCAGUGGCGAAGGCGGCCAACUGGCUCGAUACUGACGCUGAGGUGCGAAAGCGUGGGGAGCAAAACAGGAUUAGAUACCCUGGUAGUCCACGCCGUAAACGAUGGAUGCUAGCCGUUGGGGGGUUUACCUCUCAGUGGCGCAGCUAACGCCUUAAGCACCCCGCCUGGGGAGUACGGUCGCAAGAUUAAAACUUAAAGGAAUUGACGGGGUCAUAGCUGUUUCCU